CUUCCUGUUCCGGUUGCCGCGGAGAUUCGGUUGCCUAGCAAGAGGCGAGGUUUCGGCAUUCACUUAUUUUAGAUGGUGGGUCCCCUGGAAGGAGUGUAUCGCUGCCGCAAGCUUCUAAGAUGUUUCCAUCCCGGCCUGCUGUGGGCAGUCCCUGUUAUGGUAUGUUGUCCCCGACACAUUAUAAAUCGUAAAUUCUUUUAUCAGCAAGACUAAGAACCUGCAAAAGGGAACCCUGAUACCUAGUAAUAUGUCUUGCUCAAUUCUUUGGGAUACAAUCUGGAUGUCACAUGAAGGACAACUCAAGACCCCCGUCCAGUUAUAUCAGCCUUUUAUUAUACUUACUGACUUUUGCACAGAGUAUCGUGAUGAAAACCCAAAAAGUGAUAUUUGAAACGAAGACAUUCACAUUAUUUAAGUAAUAGUAGCACAAGAUAAUGUAUUAUCAGUUCUGGAUUUUUUUUUUUUUUUUGAGUGGAAGGGGAGGUUGAGAUAGCCCAGGUCUAUAGCCCUAGAACUGGCCUCAAACUCCCUGAGAUCCACCUGCCUCUGCCUCCCAAGUGCUGGGAUUAAAGGCAUGCACUGCCACUGCCCGGCUUCUUUGGCCUUUUUAUACCUUCUUAGACAAAAGUUCCUAGAAAUUUACCUAAGAAAGAAAUGUUACAUAAAAUGGGAGUUACAGAAGGAUGUUGACAUUAAGUUCAAAGCAGUGUUUCAUUCUAUAUGCUCAUUAUACAUUUAAAGCAACAGUUUCACAUGGCCUUGCCUUAUCAUAGUGCACACCUGUAGCUUUAUCCAUGGACCUAAAUAUUUUUCCUUGAACAUAAAUUUGUCCCAAGACUAUUCCUCUUUUUAGUGUAAUUAUGAAAGCUCACUAUUUCUUAUUAUGUAGACUUUACUUGCUAUUAUGAGGAACUGGCACAUUCUAUUCUUGAUUCUAACUUUAUUACAUCUUUCUAGCAAAGCAACUAAGUCCAUUUCUAAAAACUUUCUUUCUAGAAUUAAUCAAAUCAGGAAUUCUAUAAAAUCAUUCAUUCAUCUAAACAGCAUUAAUUCAUGAAAGUUCAUCUUUGUGUUGAUCUGCAGGAAAUCUGUCAAUAGGGUGGGCUGAUGCCCAGGAACUAUUAUAUUAAUAAUGACAGGAAAGGCAUAUCAGUUGCAGGAAGCAAUCCUCUGGUGAAGUCCCUUUGGGACCCAUACUCACAGAGCUCACCCACCGCAGACGUGCAGAAGCAGCAGGCCACCUCCAGGAAGGCAACCUUAGCCUAUCCUAGGUGGUUCCUGACACCCAACCCUACAGCUCAUUUUGCAGACAAAGGCCAAGAGGUGUCCUAGUUCGUGUCCAUAAAAAAAGACCAGAAAGCUAAAAGUAAGGUCCACCUAUGCAGUGGUAAGACUUCCUAACAUUUUAAAGAGCAUACAUUUUUUUUAGGGUUUUUUUUUUUUUUUUUUUUUUUUUUUUGGAACUGAACUUUUUGAAAUAGUAACACAGUUACUAUUCUGUUUGUGAUAAAAUACCAUGACCAGGUCAUCUUAUUUGUGGGAGGAGGUAUUUGGGCUUACAGUUCCAUAGGGAUAAAAAUCCAUCCUGGUGGAGAAGCAUGGUACCAAGCAGCAGCGAGAAGCUACGAUUUCACACCCUCAGCUACAAGCAUGAGUCAAGAGAGUGAGCCGGAAGCAUGCGAUACCUCCAGUGGUACACUUCUACCAGCAAGGCUAGUGCACCUAAACCUCACCAGCAGCAUGGCCGACUGGGACGCUCUCCUCAAUCACAGCACAGUACCCAUAAGUGUGUCUAUGCAGGAGGCGAUUUUCUCCUGUUAGUUUCUUUUAAUAAACAAAGCCUUGGAGUCUACUGCAUCAACAGGUACAAAUAUGCUAGCCAAGCAGAACACACAGGUAUUUUGAUUUAUAACUUACAUCUAAAAUGUACAUAGUAAGUUCAUUGCUUAGGAGAGCAACCCGAGCCUCUUUCCAAGCCAGGCAUAGCAGCUUAUAUGUGCACUCUUCCUGCAGGAAGAAGAUGAGGACUAUUAGCUUCAUCUCUGUGGAGCUCAUUUCGUUUACAUAUGUAUGUUACUUCCAAAUUUGCAUUUUCAAUGACAAAAUUGCUAAAUCCAGAACAGUUGUUCUAAGAAAGGUGCUUUGAACCAUCUUGAAGCUAUAAUGCCAUUUCGCCAGCAGAUGGCGCUUCGUAGGUUAGGGUAGGGAUGUGGUGGGAGGGGAGAAGUUUUUAAACCUGCUCUGAAAAUAUAAAAUGCACUUAAUGGAAGAAAAAAUGAUAAUUAUAAUCUCAAAAAAAUUUAAAAACAUAUGUUUAAAACAUGCAAUUAGUGUUAAAGGUAAAAUACAACCAUUAUUUGUAACAAGUCACUACAAAUAAAGCAAAUAAAAGAUAAAACCUAGGUCGUAAAAAAAUGUAAGCAGUUUGUAUGAAUGAAUAAACAAUUAAAC
rnacentral:lncRNA from 1 species